rnacentral:tRNA from 1 species
UCCCUGGUUGUCUAGUAGCUAAGACUCUGAGUUCCUGAUUCGGAGGCCUGGGUUCAAUACCUGGUCAAGGAA